CGCCUCCUCCCUGCCGUCGCGCGCUCGCUCCGGCGCUGCUCCUUUGCCGUUCGCGGCGGCCGGGUGCGUCCCCCGUGGGCCCCUCCCUUCUCGUUGGGCUACACCUCCGGGUACACACCCGGGGGCUACACUACCCGACACUACACUCUACUUUUACCUUCCUGGUGACCACUCCUGCACACGACCGGUUUCGGGCUGUCGCUCUCACGACUGGGCCCGCGGGCGCCUUUCGCUACGUUGGUG
rnacentral:rRNA from 1 species